UUAAUAGGGAUAGUUGGGGGCAUUAGUAUUUAAUUGUCAGAGGUGAAAUUCUCAGAUUAACUAAAGACUAACUUAUGCGAAAGCAUUUGCCAAGGAUGUUUUCAUCGAUCAAGAACGAAAGU
rnacentral:rRNA from 1 species